UAUGACUACAGUCAUAUCCUCAGAAGAUCGAGAAGAAACUUCAGAUGUUUCUUGUAAGAGCCUUUGAGAAACCUAUAAGAUUUCAUAAGAUUCUUAUGAAAACAAUAUCUAAAUGGAAAUGCUGAGAAUAUAAGGAAUAUCGUAGGUAAUAUCCUCUUCAAGGUCUUUUCUACUCACUCAGACUGUACAUAUGUUUGCUUCAGAUUCUGGAAAACCUCUAUAGGGAAUAGCUAUAAAAUACCUAUUUGACAAAAAUCAGAAGGGUGUAAACAACAGUUUUGUUUAUACCAGCUUAAAAAAAGUUUGCAACAGGACUGAACACAUUUAUGGGUAUUAAAACAGUAUCUGAACACAAAAGUAAAUUAAAAGUUCACUAAAGUGGCGAAGUUGAGCACUGAUUUAAGAAAUGUCAAGCUAAAUUUGCUUAUGCAUCUUCCAUUUGCCUCUCUAAUUUGUAUGCACUACUAUUACACGCUCGCACUGCAGGAAUUCCCACAAGGCAUGGUAUAGGCAGCGCUCAGUUAAUGAGCAGUUUUUCAAUACUGUUUUGGCAUCUUUAUUCAUUGUGUAGCCCCAGGCCUGAUUUACUCACAAAUUCUGCUUUCAGUGCAGAAGCAGUCCCUGAUGGACUUUGCUGUGGUGCUCAUGACCGAUUGCUUUACAAAGUAUCUCCACAGUACCCUUCAGGAACAAGAGGGUGGAAGUACUCCCAGCACUCCCAGUGCAAAGCUGAGGCAGAGGCUGAGCAGGACAGGUGAAAUUGCCAGUCCUUGUCUUCCCAGAGUGCUUAGCUUUUUCAAUAUAUAAAGCGAUGUUCCUCACUUGCUCACACUUCAGCUGCACCUCCUCACUGCUACUAACUGGAGUGACUUUUGCAAGCUAAGUGCCCAGAAACAAAAGGACUAAAGCAAUGUGCAGUACUUAAUUUCAUGAUUUUUCUGCUAGCCCAGAGGGCAAUGACAGAUCCAAUCCUCCUGAGUAGCAAUGAACCCUCCUUACCUUUGCAAUAUGGUUUCUUUCAUGGUCCCACCUCACUCACAUCACAUCUUCUGCAACAAAUGAAUCAGCCAUCUGGUGCAUUCUCACAUCCAUUCUAAGCAGGGUAAGCACCGUGUGGGCAAAAGAGCCCCCAGUCAUGUAAAAAUAAUUUUGUUAAGAAAUAAGCCUGUGUACUAUCUAUCCAACGACAGUUAAUAAUAAAAUGAUGAUAAGUAGCACAUAAUCAGUCUGUCUUGUAAUACCACCAACAGCUUAACUCUCUGCCAGCCGAGUGCUUAAAAAGCAUACUUGCUGACAUAGGUCUCAGCGGGACUUCCUGGAACCCCUAACCUCUUACAUCCACAUCUUCAAGCCUUUCUACUGCUUGUUAAAAAUAGCUGUUUGUUAGCUAGGCACAAAGUACCUAACCCCACGGCUGGCUGUUGCCUGGUUAUUGGCUAUUUCAGGCUAAUCCAGCUCUCUGCAAGACAUUCGUGUUUGUUCUUUCCGUGUCGAUAUGUUGCUGCUACCAUAUAGGCAGUUUCGAGUCUAUUUCUAUAUCUUUGAUUGUUGUGAUAAUGACAAGGACUUAACUGAGAAAUGAAAAUUAUUAUUGCUGUAUUGAUCUGGAUCACCGUGGUGCUCUCUAAAAUGAUUUUGUGUGGUAGUUACAAAUUCUUGUGUAGGUCAGGGUGAUUCUGAUUAACAAAAAUAAAACUGAACGGCCUUUUCUUGCCAAAAGAUUACAAGGAUUAUUCUAAUUUACCUCCCUCUACAAUAAAGCAUGGUGAUUUGUUGUUACCAGGAUGCUCAUGCGACCCCCUGGUGAGAGGAAAUGAAUUGUGGAGCUCCAUCCUUCCAUGAAGGAAAAAGAGAUGAGGAAUUUGGAUUACCUUUGUCUGAAUAUGAUGCAAGAGCUGUUUCAGUGUCAGGUUCUUGCAAUGCCAGUGAAAGGAAGACCCUACAGGACGUUCCUGGAUCUCAGAGAAGCCAUUCUGAACUGUGGCUCCUGCCUCAAAUCAGAGCCAUGUGCCAAAAUGGUUAAAACUUCUGUACAGGAAACAUCAGGGAAGAAGAGCCAGUUACAGUGCUGUUUUCUGACAUAAAUCAGCAAAGCUUAAAGGCAUUGCUGCAUAUGGACAUGAAAUGCUAAAACUUAACUUUAAAAAGGGGUCAGCAAAGUAACUGUCAAUUUUAGAGAAAAUGAGUACUUUUUUUUUCUUAAUAUUCUUAGUUAACUUCUCCAACUUUUCAAAACUUAUUAUUUUUGAUGAAACUUCUUAUCAACCUUUUCAAAUUUCAGUGUGAAACAGAUUGUCGUCACUGCAAUGCUCAGCCCAAACAGCGACAGAGUAAAAUAGCUUCAAGAAGCUCUAUUCUCCAAUUGGGAAGCACAGGACAGCUUUCAUUAAAAACAAACAAAUAAAUAAAUCCCCUGGAAUAAAACCAGAGCAACUUACAGCACCCCACAGUGCUCUAAUUUUGCUCCUGUGCCCAACAUGUUGUGCUGUGCUUCAUGUGCCAG
ensembl:lncRNA